rnacentral:rRNA from 1 species
AGAGUUUGAUCCUGGCUCAGGACGAACGACUGGCGGCGCGCCUAACACAUGCAAGUCGAACGAGAGAUGAAGAGCUUGCUCUUCAAAUCGAGUGGCGAACGGGUGAGUAACGCGUGAGGAACCUGCCUCAAAGAGGGGGACGAACAGUUGGAAACGACUGCUAAUACCGCAUAAGCCCACGGCUCGGCAUCGAGCAGAGGGAAAAGGAGCAAUCCGCUUUGAGAUGGCCUCGCGUCCGAUUAGCUAGUUGGUGAGGUAAUGGCCCACCAAGGCGACGAUCGGUAGCCGGACUGAGAGGUUGAACGGCCACAUUGGGACUGAGACACGGCCCAGACUCCUACGGGAGGCAGCA